UACGUAGGGGGCUAGCGUUGUCCGGAAUCAUUGGGCGUACAGCGCGUGUAGGCGGUCCGGUAAGUCCGCUGUGAAAGUCGGGGGCUCAACCCUCGAAUGCCGGUGGAUACUGUCGGGCUAGAGUGCGGAAGAGGCGAGUGGAAUUCCUGGUGUAGCGGUGAAAUGCGCAGAUAUCAGGAGGAACACCAAUUGCGAAGGCAGCUCGCUGGGACGUUACUGACGCUGAGACGCGAAAGCGUGGGGAGCAAACAGG
rnacentral:rRNA from 1 species